CCAACAGUAAAAAAAACGCCUCACUCGUUCUCCUUAUACAGAGAAGCUCAAAAUGAGUUCGCAAAAUAAGCCUUCGCUAUAGAACACGCCUCUCUCCAGUUCACUUCUUCUCUGCGACUCCACUCCACCUCUCCUGCGUUCAACAUCGACUCAUCUUCUUCGAAUCUUGACGCAAGUCAGUUUUUUCUGGUCUUUCCCUUUGGAUACCUCUCUUAUUCCUUCUUCCAUCUCUUUGAUUUUUGCAAAUCUCCUCAACAAUUUUGACUGUGCUAUGAGAAUCUCUCCUUCCUUUUCUCUGUUAUUUUCUUCUUCUCUUCUCUAAUUUUCGUAGAAUCUGUAGGGACAUAUAUAUACAUGAUGUUAAUUGGCAAUUAAUUUGCAAUUGGGUAUUUCAGAAAACCUAGAAAUUCAGAAGUAAAGUAGACUUUUGGCAUGAAUCUUGAGUUUAUUGAACUUGCUGUUUCAGUUUUUAUGGUUUUCAUUACAUAUCGAUAUAAUAUAAUAUAACAAGGUAGAAAAUUAUUACCUAGAUUCUUCGGAUGGGUGCUGUAGAAUUGGGUUGCGUCAAUGUCCUGAAUUGCCUCAGCAGCUGGCACAGGCCUAUCAAACACCUUGUUCAUUAGAUAGUGAGUGACCAACUCCUUAUCUGUUGGCAUAAGCCUAAAUCCCACUGGCAGCUGGCCUGAGCUCAUCAUUGUUUCUUGUCCAUGUUCUGCUUCCAUGUAUAUAUAUCGUGGACCGUUUGAUCAUCACUUGGAAGAAAUGAUCAAGAAAAUGGCUGGCAAAACAACUCAAGUAAAUCAAGGCUGAAUUAACUUAUAUAUAUGUAUAGGUGGUAAUUGAAUCCUAGUAGGACUCUUUUUGAUUACAAAGACAGAACCCAAUUCACCUUUUUUCUCUUUUUGUUGUUUAUCGUUCUUGUGUAUGUGUGUAUACUUGGAAGAUGUUGAGCUUAGAGUGGUGUUUAGUUUUUGACUCUGUUUUGCCAAUGCGAUAUAUGUUGAAAAAAAAAAUGUAAAUAUCUGUUUUGCCUAUAGCUAUUAUAUAGAGUAGCUAAACCGACUCAAAAGAUAGCAAAUAUCUAGUGAAGUCGGUUAUUCUGUCCAUUAAUUCUCAGUUUGAAAUUCUUUUGUCGUCAUUGUUUGGUGUUGCUCUUGCAAUACGAGCAAUUGUUUUUGGAUUUCACCAUCAAGUGUUUGCUUUGCACCCGAAGGUUAGUUUUGUAAAGCGUCACUUUGUUCAAAUCUUAAACCUACCCCUGUUAUCCUACUUGACACUUCUAUUCACUUCUGAAACAUAUGAUCAUAAAAUGUCCGGAAUUUUUUCACAUCUUGUUAACUGUUCAUUUUACUUUGGGGGUUCUGAGGGACAUUGAGGCUCUAUUUGGUUUAUUGGAAAGACAAGAACAUAAAAAGAAAGCAAUGAACCUUGGGGUUGUAUACUAAAAUCGGGCAGCUGCAUCUUGAACCAGGUACUAAUAUUGGUCUUGUUGGAUCUUCCUGGACUGCUGUUCUUCUCUACGUACACACUUCUUGUUCUCUUCUGGGCAGAGAUAUAUCACCAGGUAACAGCAUGUUUUCCUAAUUCUUUGCAUGGUAUUAGUGUUAGUGUUAGCCAGACUUCAAUUAAACUGAGGUGUGCAAAUUUUAAAUGUGGUUGUUUCUUUUGAUCAAUGAAGACUUCUGACUUCAUUUCUCACUAUCAAUGAACAGGCAAGAAACUUUCUAGUGUAGAGAUCAAAUUUGACUAGUCAUCUUUUCUCAAUUUUUCUGUUAUAUGCUGCUGUCUUGAAUUCAAUGUGAUAGUUUGAAGGUCAAUGACUCAAAUUAUACAUAGUUUAAUCAAUUAACAUGGUGAUGGUGUUGACAUGACAAUGAUGUUUAAGGUUUAACAGUGAGUGCAGCACAUGCUCAUUUUGGAGAAGCCACAAAACAUCUCUAUAUUCAUGUCUUUGGAUGAUGAUAUCAAGAAAGUGUUUGUUGAGCAGUUGCUUAGUGACAAUGCUUGAGGACAUGGCCUAGCUAAGUUUGAUGCAUCUAUCUUUUUGGAAACACCACAAAUGAUGCAUUGAUAAGAUUGGCUUCAUUUUGGAAACACCACAAAUUGUAUAACAUUUUGCUAGCAUUAAAGCCAUAUGGUUCAUGGUUGUGGGGUUUAUUAGUUUCAUUUUGAAAUUGUGGAUGUUUAUUUGUAUGUAUUAAUGGUAGAAUUGUGUGUAGCGAACUAAACCUCUAAUUUCUGAGUCAUGUAGAUGACUUUGGCAUAUAUGAAAAUUUCUAACUUUUGCACAUAUGAAAUGUACAUGUGAAUUUGGUUUGGAGGAAAAGAAAUGUAUAUUGUCAAUUUGGUAAUUCUAAUAACAAAAAAACUACAUUUAAUUAUUUAACAAUUAUUAUUUUUAAAUAUAAAAUAAUUAGUUUUUAGUCCCACACAGUACCAAACAUAGGUCUUCACUAUUUUUACAAUCCAGUUUCUUAGUCCGACGUAGUACCAAACGUAGGUCAAUACUUAAUCCAGCUUAGUCCAAUCCGAGCUAAUCCAAGACAGUCCCAGGAUUUAGUCCAGUCCAUGACAGUCCGCCGUUCCAAACGACCC
rnacentral:lncRNA from 1 species